ACGGAGGAAGGUGGGGACGCCGUCAAAUCAUCAUGCCCCCUUACGUCCUGGCGCACCCACGUACUACAAUGCCGCCCAACAAAGAGAGGCAAGGCCCCGAGGCGGAGCAAAUCUCAAAAAGCCGUUCCAGUUCGGAUCCCAGGCUGCAACCCGCCUGCGUGAAGUUGGAAUCGCUAGUAAUCGCGGAUCAGCAUGCCGCGGUGAAUACGUUCCCGGGCCUUGUACACACCGCCCGUCACACCAUGAGAGUCGGGACCCCCCGAAGUCCGUAGCCUAACCGCA
rnacentral:rRNA from 1 species